rnacentral:rRNA from 1 species
GACGAACGCUGGCGGCGUGCUUAACACAUGCAAGUCGAGCGAUGAAGCUUUCUUCGGAAAGCGGAUUAGCGGCGGACGGGUGAGUAACACGUGGGUAACCUGCCUCAUAGAGGGGAAUAGCCCUUCGAAAGGAAGAUUAAUACCGCAUAAGAUUGUAGUAUCGCAUGGUACAGCAAUUAAAGGAGUAAUCCGCUAUGAGAUGGACCCGCGUUGCAUUAGCUAGUUGGUGAGGGAACGGCUCACCAAGGCGACGAUGCGUAGCCGACCUGAGAGGGUGAUCGGCCACAUUGGGACUGAGACACUGCCCAGACUCCUACGGGAGGCAGCAGUGGUGAAUAUUGCACAAUGGGGGAAACCCUGAUGCAGCAACGCCGCGUGAGUGAUGACGGUCUUCGGAUUGUAAAGCUCUGUCUUUAGGGACGAUAAUGACGGUACCUAAGGAGGAAGCCACGGCUAACUACGUGCCAGCCGCCGCGGUA